UAGAUGGUGAGGUAACGGCUCACCAUGGCGACGAUGUCUAGGGGUUCUGAGAGGAAGAUCCCCCACACUGGUACUGAGACACGGACCAGACUCCUACGGGAGGCAGCAGUGAGGAAUAUUGGUCAAUGGACGCAAGUCUGAACCAGCCAUGCCGCGUGAAGGAUGACUGCCCUAUGGGUUGUAAACUUCUUUUAUAUAGGAAGAAACCUCUCUACGAGUAGAGAGCUGACGGUACUAUACGAAUAAGGACCGGCUAACUCCGUGCCAGCAGCCGCGGUAAUACGGAGGGUCCAAGCGUUAUCCGGAUUUAUUGGGUUUAAAGGGUCCGUAGGCGGGGCUUUAAGUCAGUGGUGAAAGCCUGCAGCUCAACUGUAGAACUGCCCAUUGAAACUGGAACUUCUUGAAAUGUGAUUGAGGUAGGCGGAAUAUGUCAUGUAGCGGUGAAAUGCUUUAGAUAUGCCAUAGAACCACCGAUAGCGAAGGCAGCUUACCAAGUCAAUUAUUGACGCUGAUGGACGAAAGCGUGGGGAGCGAACAGGAUUAGAUACCCUGGUAGUCCACGCCGUAAAACGAUGAUCACUAGCUAUUGGCGAUACACUGUCAGUGGCACAGCGAAAGGUGUUAAGUGAUCCACCUGGGGAGUACGAUCGCAAGGUUGAAACUCAAAGGAAUUGACGGGGGCCCGCACAAGCGGUGGAGCAUGUGGUUUAAUUCGAUGGUACGCGAGGAACCUUACCAGGGCUUAAAUGUAUGUUGACUUAUUGGGAAACCAUUAUUUCUUCGGACAAUAUACAAGGUGCUGCAUGGCUGUCGUCAGCUCGUGCCGUGAGGUGUCAGGUUAAGUCCUAUAACGAGCGCAACCCUUAUCUUUAGUUGCCAGCGGGUUAAGCCGGGGACUCUAGAGAAACUGCCUGCGUAAGCAGAGAGGAAGGUGGGGACGAUGUCAAGUCAUCACGGCCCUUACGCCCUGGGCCACACACGUGCUACAAUGGUAGGUACAGAGGGCAGCUACCGUGCGAGCGGAUGCAAAUCUCAAAAACCUAUCUCAGUUCGGAUUGGAGUCUGCAACUCGACUCUAUGAAGCUGGAAUCGCUAGUAAUCGCGUAUCAGCCAUGACGCGGUGAAUACGUUCCCGGGCCUUGUACACACCGCCCGUCAAACAAUGGAAGCUGGGAGUGCCUGAAGUCGGUAACCGUAAGGAGCUGCCUAGGGUAAAACUAGUAACUGGUGUU
rnacentral:rRNA from 1 species